GUAGGAACCAAAAUUGUAAAUACCCCGCCCCGCAACGCUACACUAAAACGCAAAUCAGAGUGAAAAGAUGCACAAUUAUAUGGCCAAAUUCAAAAAACAAAGUAAACAAAUUAAGCGCAAAUUGAAAGCCCAGCGCGACAUGAAGGAUUUGAUGCGCAAUUUCCCCAUUUUGUGAAUGGGUGCGCAGAUCCUGCUAAUUAAGCUGGUCAGAGCGCGGGUCUUAAUUCCCUUGGAACGGCGCCGCAUUGAAAGUGUGCCUUUAGGCCUUCACCCUUGGAACGGCGCCGCAUUGAAAGUGUGCCUUUAGGCCUUCAUUUGCACUUUUUUUCCAGAACAACACCCAUCUUUUUAAUUUGAAAUCAGAACGCAAUUUCUGCUAGGGUUCCUUCUUCAUGCGGCCGAAUCACCAUCAAAUUUGGUGUCCAGCGGCGCGCGAAACCAUUCCCGAUUCAGCUGUUGUAGGUACUCGACCACCCAUUGAGGAGUUUGAUAUUGUGUGCCUACAGAAUCAAGGUACAAAUAAUGGCUUUUUAUAGCCCAAAUUUACAGAAUAAAUGAAAAAUAAAAAUACAUUUUUCCUCUGUCAUUUGGCUGUACAUUCUGUUGCUGCUCCUCGUAUAUUCUUUUGCAGGUAUGGUGCAACGACUGUACGGAGAAAGCCCCUCGUGAAAGCUGUGCGUGAGAAAUCGUCUCUCUGGUGCACUUCUAGUAUAUUCCAGGAGCUGCUGUUGAAAUUCCCUUUUCUGCUGGGCUCUUUCGGAUUUGGGCUAGACUUUAGGUUUAUUAGGAUUGGGCUUUAAUUGGGUUAAAUAAUGUAUUUGGGCUACUUUUUAUUAUUUUGGGCCUGAUGAUGUAAAAUUUGGACAUGAUCAUAGAUAUUUCAAUUUAUUUGGGUUUAUUUAAGUAAAGUAAA